AAGGGAAGAAGGAAUAGAAGAAGAAGAGAGAAGAAGAAUUCUGCAUUGUUAUUGAUUAUGGAGUGCCCCAUUACUUGUAUUUCCCUCCUAUUUAUACUACCCCUAACUGAGAUGCCUAUUACAGUUAGCUCAUCUUAUCUUAGUCAGCUGAUUACAGUCAGCUCAUCUCAUCUCAGUCCACUCAUCCCCUUAUUCAUAACAAAUGCACACCUUAAUUGUGUUUAUAAGCAUCCAUGGAUAAUGAUUAUACAAGUGAUAU
rnacentral:misc_RNA from 1 species